AAGAUAUUAGUUAAAUAAUAACAUUAAAGUGUCACUUUAAAAUUAAUUUUCUUU
rnacentral:tRNA from 1 species